UACGUAGGUGACAAGCGUUGUCCGGAUUUACUGGGCGUAAAGAGCGCGCAGGCGGUCGAUCAAGUCGAGUGUGAAAGCCCCCGGCGUCAACUGGGGAGGGUCGAUUCAUACUGAUCGACUCGAAGGCAGGAGAGGGUAGUGGAAUUCCCGGUGUAGCGGUGAAAUGCGCAGAUAUCGGGAGGAACACCAGUGGCGAAGCGGCGACCUGGACGGACACUGACGCUGAGACGCGAAAGCGUGGGGAGCAAACAGG
rnacentral:rRNA from 1 species